UACGUAGGGGGCUAGCGUUGUCCGGAAUCAUUGGGCGUAAAGAGCGUGUAGGCGGCCCGGUAAGUCCGCUGUGAAAGUCGGGGGGCUCAACCCUCGGAUGCCGGUGGAUACUGUCGGGCUCGAGUACGGAAGAGGCGAGUGGAAUUCCUGGUGUAGCGGUGAAAUGCGCAGAUAUCAGGAGGAACACCAAUUGCGAAGGCAGCUCGCUGGGACGUUACUGACGCUGAGACGCGAAAGUUAGGGGAGCAAACAGG
rnacentral:rRNA from 1 species